CUGUUACAGGGCCGCCGUUUUACAGCAGGGGGCGCCAUUUCACAGCAGGGGCCGCCAUUAUAGGAUGCAGCAGGGUUGCUGCUGCUCUUCCUCCUGAGGGUGAGGGGUGAGAAAGCGGAAAGCUCGAGGCGGUUUAUGGCUGCAGGUUUCUCAAGAAGUUUUGAAGAAAUCAUCUUUUGCUCCGACUGUCAGUGAAGUAUUACCCUGAGAAGAUGUGGGAAAACAGAAUGCAGAGCAAGCCCUGGACAGAAGAGUUUUUCAAGUUAUUGAUGUAACUGGACCUAUUGAUUGUCUGAGAAGAAAGGAUUAGACACAAGUGGGAUUUGUUAAAACCACACAUUUCAGAUAUAACAAAGUAAGUCAACUGUGAAGCUGAAGAAGUUGGAUUUCCAAGAAGUCUUUGAAAACAAGGGAAUAUGUACUGCUCCCAUAAAGAAAGUACGUCAAAGAGAACGAGAUUAGUCAAAUGAUUUUAAGCCUCACUGCCAAUCGAGUAUUUUAGGUAACUAGAUAUGCUACAUAAAUCUUUGCUGGUUUGCUGGUUCUCCUUACCUAUGUAAAUCACACUGAUCCUUCUAAAUCUGGAUGAUAUAUAAAGCAAAGCACUGACAGUGCCCACAUUUAGAUCAGACAGUGGGCUCUAUUAUGCAUCUCAGCUUUUGAAAUGUUUUCUCUGGGAAAGUGAAGAAGGAGGAAAGUUGUUUCUGAUUUUUUGGGAGUUGAAAAAGAUAGUGUCUUGACAUAUGCCAGCAGGCACACACUGCCUCCACAACAGAACUGUAUUCAAGGCAGGCAACAGGGGACUGGCCUAGCGUAAAUCAGGACAGGGUCUGGUGUUUGUGUUAAUCUAGUGGGUGCUUGCAGCCAUUACAAAUUAGUAAACUGUUUAAAACACUCUGCUGAGAUAC